UGUUUACAGCACUUCCUCUCUAACUGGGACGUUUUGGGAGCGAUUGGUGGGAUGCUGUGGACCAAGUACACACAGAUACACGAUAUGCCAGUCAGUUA